rnacentral:rRNA from 1 species
GACGAACGCUGGCGGCGUGCCUAAUACAUGCAAGUCGAACGCAGUGGGGCCGGGUGAGUAACACGUGGGUCACCUCCCAUCAGAGGGGAUAACACUUGGAAACAGGUGCUAAACCGAUACUGAUGGAUGGACCCGCGGUGCAUUAGCUAGUUGGUGAGGUAACGGCUCACCAAGGCCACGAUGCAUAGACGACGUGAGAGGUGGUUCGGCAACACUGGGACGGAGACACGGCCCAGACUACGACGGGAGGCAGCAGUAGGGAAGCUUCGGAAAUGGACGAAAGUCUGACCGAGCAACGCCGCGUGAGUGAAGAAGGUUUUGGGAUCGUAAAACUCUGUUGUUAGAGAAGCGGUAUCUAACCAGAAAGCCACGGCUAACUACGGGCCAGCCGCCGCGGUAAUUC